CGUGACGCACCGCGGGGCUGCGGUAGUCGCAGGCCCGGUUGCUGAGCGUCAGCUCUGCUGCUGUUUUGCUGCUGUUGCGCAGUGUCGCGACCUGGCCAAUAGGGGCGACCCAAAAUUAGAAUUGCUAGCUCAAGGACAGGUUUUUAAUGCCAAAUGAAUCUCUAUUUUCAUGACUUCAAGAGUUUGCUCCCCACAUAAGAUUUUCAGUAGCUUUAAAGCUCCGACUGGUGUCUGGGACCUAGAGUUGCUGCUUCUUGGAAGACUGACGCAGGAGGAAGAGCUCAAGGCCAGCCUGAAGUUUCUGCUUUUCAAGACUAGAACCAAGAAUAACGAAACUCUUUAAGAAAGGCUGUUUCACAACACAGACUCCAUCCCUUGAAAUGUUAUUUUCCAACUGCCUCAAGUGGUUUCUACUUCCGCUGCUGCAUGCCCAUGAUAUAAUGCUCCCAAGGCAAUCAGAAUGAUGAUCUUAAGUCUUGGGGUUUGGUGUCGAAGGAUGAUGAGACAGCCAUUCAAUAUGUGAGCAGAAAAAGCCAAAACAAGGUUUUGUGCCCUCCAGGAAGGAGGAGCUAUGUCAGUAGGUACAGUCUCACCCAGUGGAGCAGGCUAUUGAUCUUGCGUGCCCUGGGGAAGAAUGGGGUCCAGGGAUAGGGAGUGCAUUUCAGAGGCAAAAGGAUUUGACACCAUCUGUAGAAGAGUGGAUUGUUGUUAACUCUCCAGUGAAUUUAUUGGAGAGUAUCUGUGAUUGGCUGGCGUUUUGGGGGCGUGGCUUUGCAAAACCAGAGCGCUGAUUCUAGGAGUUCAGAAACUUGCGUUUUAGGUUUCUUUUUGAUUAUAAAAAUGUUGGGCGGGGUGGGGGGGCUCAGAGGUACAAUGCAUGUGCGGGCUCUGGAGUAAGUCCUUAUCACCCAUUAAAAAAAACAAAAAAAAUUUAAAAAUUAAACCUACAGAAAACAUGGUGGAAUGAGAUAGACAUCAUUACCCUUGGUGCGCGUUCGGUUGCUGGAAUGGUGCGUCUCUACACUGUGUACGGAGAAUUGAAAUGUUGCACUCCAUUUGUAUGCGAUGUGCGAUGAAUUGAAAUGCAUUCUGCUGUCAUGCACAACUAAGUAGAAGAAAUUUAAAAAAAAAAUAACUAAACCUAACGGAAAAAUCAAAGAGUAAAGUAACCAAAAAAAAGUCAUGCGUCCCUGGGUGCCCAGAGACAACCCCAGAGCGCUGUCCAGCGAAUGCAACGCCUGGGCGCGCAGUACUCAGCACUGGGAUUCCUCGGUUACCUACCAAACCAGCAGCGUCUGUGUUCCCAGGAACACCGAGACCUUGUGGUGAGACUGACUUCUCCGUGAUAAGGAAGAGCGGUUGUUGCACCUUUCCUCGUCCUAGCCAUGAGGAAUCUUUCCCUGCAGUUUUUUCCACCGUUUUUAGUUGUCUUGAGUCUUGUAUUUAUUAUAUUUUGGGCUUGUUUUGCCAUAGAAAGGAUUGUUUUCAAAUGUAGUCAAAGCUAUCAAUCUAUUCUGUUAUUGUUAUUUUGAAACAAGGAAAUCCUUUUUCCUGCACCUGGAUUAUAGGGGAUUUUUGUCCAUGUUUUGUUAUGAUUUUUUUCCUAGUACUUUUAUGAUUUCAUUAUUCAUUCACCAAUUCCUAAUCCAUUUGCUGUUGGUUGAUUGCCGAGCAUGAGACAGAGGUCAAAUUUUCUCUUUUCCCACUUGCCUCAACUCCAUUUGGCUGAGAUGCCACCUUCAUCUUAUACUAAAUUCCCAAAUGGGUUUGUAUUUGCUAACCCUAACUCUUGCUGUCUCUUCCUGAAUCAGCACCACAUUUUUUUCUUUUAUGUGUCUUAGGCUGUGAUUUAUUGACUAACUCUGGUCCUUCAUCAUGACUUUUAUUUUGCAAUGUUUUCCUGGGUAUUUUUGCUUAUUUUUCCAUUUAAAAUUGGUAUAAACAUGUAUAGCCCAAUAUAUAUUCGUAUAUUUAUUAGUAUUUUUAAAUUAGAAUUGAACUUUCUAAAUUAAUUUAGGGACACUUGACAUUUUUAAACUUAAAUCAUCAUAUCCAAGAAAAAAGGGUGUCUUUCCAUUCAUUCAAAUCCACUUUUGUAUCUUUCAAGAGAGUCUUAAAGAUUUUUUAUAUACAUUUUACAUUUUUCUUGUUAACUUCAUUCUUCUUUGAUUUGUAUAUUCGGUUUUUUCCAACAGUAGUUCACAAACUGCUCGUAUAUAUGAGGGCCAUUGGUUUUGGGUAUUAACUUUAUAUUCUGCCAACUUAGUUCUCCUAUCUGACUUUUUUUUUCUUGAGCCAUGAGGAAGAUUAUCCGGACACCUGACAAAAUCUGAAUAAGUAAUUUGUUUUCUGUUCACAGUAACAUCCUGAUUUUGAUUAUGAUACUGUGGCUGUGAAAGUACUUGUACUUAGAAAGCUCACACUGAGAUAUUAGAAACUGAAGAGUUGUUCCACCUGCAGCUUACUCUCAAUCUGUUCAGAAGACUGUGUAUGUGCACACAGAUAAGCAUAAAAUGGGUAAAAUUGUUACCGCUGUUUACCAGUGACGAGUCUUCCCCGAUGCUGAAGUAUAACACCAGAGAAGCAUCCCGAGGCAAGUUUAGAGUAGAAACUUGAAGUUUUAUUAAAGGACAGCAGAAAAGACUUUUCUCCCUGGAGGAAGAAGGGGACCCAAUAGGUGGAAUCUGUGGAAGGGCUGGAUCAUCCCUUUUUUAUAGCUAAGGUUUACUUUCAGAUUUCCCAGAUUCCUGUCGCAUGCAUUCCUGUCCUUUGUUCUGUUAUCUUGCAGUGAUGAAAUGUAGGUGGGAAGGCCCAAAAGAUGGGGGACAGACAGACCCGGAGGAGUAAUCUGGCCAUUAAGGGUUUUGGGAUUAGCAUCUCUUUGUUUGCUGGGAGCUGCUUCAUUAACAAUUCCUUGGGAUGGGCUCUGGGUCUUGGGGACUUUUUCAAUUCCCCUUUUCCUGGACUCCAUUCUCAAUAUGGCCUUCAUUAUUGAUUUUACUUGAUAUUAGACCAGGUUUACCUAACUACACUAACUACUUAUCUUUAAAUCUGGCUUCAAAAUGAAUGUGGUGAAAUGUCACUAAUUAGGGAAUCUGGAUUGGGGUUUAUUUGGAACUCCUUGUUCCAGUUUACAACUUCUAAGUCUGAGAUUACCUCUAAAGACUUGACCACCCAGAGAACCUUGGGCAGCUUCACAUCUCAGACACCUGAUAAAUAGCCCAGCUUGAAAAUGCUUAUGCACAUGGAUGAGUCCCUUAAAUCAGGACAGUUACACCGGUAGGCAGUGCUAUAACCAGAAAAGCUUAUUACUCUAUUACUGUGCACACAAUAAGCAUGUGCGUUCUAAACACAUUGACCUAUUUUUAGCCAAAGUGCACUUAUUUUAUAACUACUUAGUGAUGGGAAAGUGAGAAUGACCUCAGAAUGCCGAGGAGACUCCCAACUGGGACCAUUCAGUUUCCAGACUGGUUUCACUGGUCUGGGGGAAGCUACAGCUUCUGAAGCAAAGGUAGAUACAGACAGAAAAGACCUCUCCUGGUGCACAGUGCAAGUUUAUAGCAUGUAAUUGAAAGACCCCCGUAUCCCUGUCCAAGGAGAAUCACACGAAACACUGGCUGCAAAAAGCAAGAGGUUUGUUUAUUGGGACACAGGCGCCUGCGGGUGCCCAGUAGAACCUCAGCCGGAGCUUUGGUGAACUGGCACACCGGGCUUGGGGAUACAGAGAUUUUUAUAGGGUUUGGGACAGGUUUCGCGCGCAUGCGCGCGGGAAGCAACAGGUUUCUUAUUGGUUUGUUUAAAUCUAGCAUAUAGGCCACCUAUGGGGUACAGGUCUGCAUUCCAAAAACCACAGGUCUGCAUUCUAUUCUUUCUGUUCCUGCUUAUCUGUUCCGGUUUAUUCAUUCAUGCCUCAGGAUGCGGGUGCUCUGUUCUUCAACCGGUUGUCCGGAAAGCAUGCCUGGCGCCUGAACCUGUUUAUGGUGUGCCUGGUAUCUUGGUUUCAUAUCUUGGCCUUAGGUAACUGGGCUGACUGGGCUAGGGUCUUUCAUAAUGUGAGGAAAUGCAAUGCUUUAGGGAUGGGAGCCCUAAAGCAGUGAUAAGCAAGCUUGACCUGAAACCCUGAGCAGGACUGCUGGGGUGGGGAGGUAAGAGCAUUCAUUGCAUCCCAGAGCAGCAAUCACUUGCAGGCUAGUGGGGGCAGCAGGAUCCAUCCACUGCCAUGUCAGCUCUGAAUGCCAGAUAUACAAGCAAAGUGCAAAGGCUGCUGAAAUCCACCAGAUUGGAAUUUAAAUCUAAGUAUUGCUUCCACCUAUGGACUCACAAAAAACAACUGCUACUCUCUGGCCAAGUUUAUGUUGUCACAGGAAUGAAAAUGUAUACUCAUUUGAAUGAAGUGCCAAUCUUAAAAGAAAAAUGGCACACCAUGAGUAUAAAAUUAUAUUUUAGAGUGAAUUGAAUUGAAAAAACCAGGAGCCCAGGCCCUGGGAGGCCUAGGGCACACAUCUUGGCUAAUUCAGCCAUUUUUUUCUGUUUGAUUGGCUUUGGUUUUGUAUUAUUUUGUUUUGUUGUUUUCUUCUGGUUUUGUAUGACCAUGAAUGCCAUGGCCUGAGCUUGGGGACUCAGGGAAUCUCAUGUUCAUUCAUUAAUACUUCUCUCAGCAAAAAAAGACUCUCUAUCCAUUUCCUUCAUCCAGAUUACAUAAAUCACUCAUUUGUAAAGAAGGUCAGUAUGACUCAUGAAACUGAGCUGGUACCUUCAUAAAGUUUACUUUGAGAGUUGCUGAAGAGCUGUGCUUUUCAACACCACAGGAUUUGGGCUCAUUGCGGAUUUUUGCACCCUAAUUUUCCCAUCAGGAAAUGUUCUAUCUGUGGCCUGCAUACUUUAUUUGGAUAUAAAGUAUGUUGUCUGUGGGUUUUUUAAGCAUGUUGAGGUCCUCAUAUGAAAAAUCUGAAUCACAGCCAACUAGAACUGCUCUCUUGGUACCCACAAUAACAAGAGUCAAAGAGUUUUAUGGAUAUGACACUGUGACCAGACUUUUUUUUCUUAAAGGUCUGAAAGAAUAUUUAUGUGCUGUUACAGUUUUGAUUUGGCAUGUGCCACAAAGUCUCAUGUGUACAGAGGUGGGUGGAACUUUUAGGCAAUGAACGGAUCUUGAGGCUCUGACUUCAUAAAUGAACUAAUCAAUUGGAUGGCUGACUGGACUAUUGGGAGGUGGGCAGAGCUGGAAGAAGUAGGUUACUGGAGGGGUUUCCUUCUCCCUUGAUGCUUAGUCUCCCUUUCUCUGCUCUCCAGCUGCCAUUCCUCUCAGUUGUUCUUCUGGGAUAAUUUUGGCCACAGCAGCACAAAGUUGACUAACACACACACUUAAUAAAUAAUGCUUUUUGUUGUAGAGCAAAACAUCCAGGAAUCAUUUAGGGUUAUUCUUUUUCAGGUCUGAUAAAAUAAUUCUGUUGCUUACAUCAUUUGUUUACAGAAAGCC